UUUUUUUUUUCUUUGCAUGUCAUGAUAUGUUAAAACUUACGGGAACUGAAGAAACACAAGGAUUUGUAAUAGAUGUUUGGUUGCAUCACAGAAAAUUGUAUGUAUUUUUUCUAAUAAUUAGGUGUGUGUACUAUGGUUGCCAUUGAAAUAAAGAAAAAAAAAUUAGGUAGGACUCAGUGAUAUCCUUUUUUUCUCCCACUGUAGUUGAAUAUAGAGCAAGUAAUAAAGAAAAAGGUUUAGUUGACGGGAGAAUUAUGAUUCGGAGGCGACGGGGGUACCAUUUCUGUUGAAAGAAAGAGGUGACGGGAGAAUUAUGAUCGAGAGGCGUCCAUUGCUGUGUACUAGCGCAACGCAAUGCAAUGACCACCGCCGACCGAGUGGCAUCGUCGGUUCAGCGGAAAGUGGAACGCACACAAAGGGCGCACUUUAGUCGUUGUCGUCACUUGUCAUUGACGUAUGGAACGCCGGUGUCUGGUGGAUCGGCGGUGGUGGCCAAGGAGGCGAGGCGAGGUCGUUCGUGUUUGGUGGGAUGUUGUUGCUUCCUCGGCUCCUUCUGCCAAGCCGCGGCCGCAACCGCGACGGCGCACCGGCAGGUCGGUAGCGUGCAACCGCGGCAGAGGAGCCGCCCCGGCCGUACGUCCCGUGUGGAGGACGAGGUGAGAGAGACUAUUGUCGACCGAUGACCUUGAGCGCACGCGACGCCCGCGCAGUGCAGUGCAGUGCCGCGGAGCUACCCGUGACACACCAUCUGAACCACAAAAUUGGGAAGGAGCCAUGUUUAACGAUUUCCUGGUGUGCCAAAAUGUCUCGUUUGUCGGCGGCUUAUCGGAUCUGGCAACUCGGGAAAAAGGAAGGAAAUGAUUGCAGUGCUGAUAAAGGAACAAGUAUGUUGCCAACCCUCAACAGAAAAGCUAGAAUGUUGGCAUGUGCUGUGGUGCGCAGCUUCCUCUCUCUCUCUCUCUCUCUCGAGUGUGUGUGUGCAGCACGGGGCGUAUGAACAACUGAAAGCUCCUCAACCAUGCACAGGCAUCAGAUGACAUACGUGGAAAAAAAAGGUCACGAUGAGGUUGCCAAAAAGCCAGUACCAAUAACAUAUUACCGCAUCAUGGCGAUGGUGGUAGCAGUUGGUGGCAGUGAGAAAAGCAGAUCAGUAGUAGGAAAAGCGUGACAGCCUUGAGCGCUUUCACGCCCGGAUACAAUACGACCCAAAACAAAGAUAACCUGACCAGAUAAUUCAUUAACCUGUAUAAAGCAACGUCCCAACGGCAUGCCACGCUGUGUGCUUGCCGGAUGGAUCAUCGACCCAUCAAUCUCAGUCCAGUUCGUUAGCACCUAAUGAAAUGAAAGCUCUGCUGUUCGUGCCUGCAAAUGGGAGCCAGGUUUGGUAAUUGGUGCUACAAUAGUGGUUAGCACUUGAUGGAUGGUUUCAGCUUUGUGUGGUUGUUUAACCCAGGUUAAGUAGUAGUACAAGGUUGGAUAGAUGCGUACGCACAGCACAGAGAUGCAUAGAUAAUGAAAACCUGCCAGAUGCUAGCAUUGUUUUCUCAUUCAUGAGCGGUGGUUCGACCAAAGACGAUGAUAGACACCAGCACAUGAAAAGAGAAUGCUGCAUCUUUAGGUUAGGUGGUUGACACUGCCUUAGGAGAGCAUGCAGACUUAAUAUUGUACAAAAUGCACCACCAACCAACCUAAUCCAAGAUCUCACUGCCAGCUAGCUCCAUGAUGCAUGCACACACAGCCCAACAGAACUCAAGGAUACUACUCCUAGAUAUUUGAUGGAAUCAAGUAGAAAAAACGGGUUGGAUAAAGCUGAAAUAAAUUUCCUGGGAAAAACCUCAAUGAGCAACAGGAAUAAAUAGAUGCAGAAAAAAGCAGGAAUAAAUAGCAGCACAUUACCAUUUAAUUUAACACAACAAAAGAGCAACAGAAAGCUCGUGCAUCGUUACCAAGAGGUUUAAUUUAACGCAUCACUACUUGCAUAUUUCCUUCCCAGAGAGUUGGUAGACCGUAGGCCCAAAAAAGGAUACUGAAAGCAUGAAAGCCUCUCUCCCUGAGCCUAAAAUCCCAAGUAAAUUGUUCCCAGGCUGCCCCACGGUUAUCAAGCAAGUCAGAACCCAAAAGAGAGCCCCUCCUAUCAACGAGCAAGGCC
rnacentral:lncRNA from 1 species